GAGCUUGCUCCUUUGACGUUAGCGGCGGACGGGUGAGUAACGACGUGGGUAACCUGACCUAUAGAGACUGUGGAUAACUUCGGGAAACCGGAGCUAAUCACCGGUAUAACAUUUGGAACCGCAAGGUUCUAAAGUGAAAGAUGGUUUUGCUAUCACUUAUAAAUGGACCCGCGCCGUAGUAGCUAGUUGGUAAGGUAACGGCUUACCAAGGCGACGAUACGUAGCCGACCUGCAGCAGGGUGAUCGGCCACACUGGAACUGACGUACACGGUCCAGACUCCGUACGGGAGGUCGAGCAGUAGGGAAUCUUCCGCAAUGGGCGAAGAGCCUGAGCGGAGCAACGCCGCGUGAGUGAUGAAGGGUUUCUGGCUCGUGAAAAGCUCUGUUAUUAGGGAAGAACAAACGUGUAAUGUAACUGUGCACGUCUUGACGGUACCUAAUCAGAAAGCCACGGCUAACUACGUGCCAGCAGCCGCGGUAAUACGUAGUGGCAAGCGUUAUCCGGAAUUAUUGGGCGUAAAGCGCGCGUAGGCGGUUUCUUAAGUCUGAUGUGAAAGCCCACGGCUCAACCGUGGAGGGUCAUUGAAACUGGGAAACUUGAGUGCAUAACAUGAAAGUGGAAUUCCAUGUGUAGCGGUGAAAUGCGCAUAGAUAUGGAGGAACACCAGCUGGCGAAGGCGACUUUCUGGUCUGUAACUGA
rnacentral:rRNA from 1 species